CGGCUACCAGGUUAUGGGCGAUUCCAUGAUGUUGCGACUGGCAAGUCGCGUGCUGUGUCGUGACAGGAGGCACUUGGAGUCACCUGUCCUGAGGUCUGGCGCUACAACCGCAAUGCUACUUGAGGGAAUCCAGAACUUCGGACGUCUUGAAUCCAGGGUUCUUCUGAUGAUUGGGACGAACGACCUGAAGCAGCUCAAGACUGCGGAUGAAGUGAUCCAGG